UUAGAUAAGGAGAACAGGGGUCCUGAAAGAACCAGACUACACCUGAUUAAACCUACUAAAGCUUGCUGGAGCAAGCCACUGAAUCGAUCACAGCGUAAACUGGUGGCUCAAGCUCUUUCAGUAAGUAAGGAUGAUGAAGUGGCAUAUGUGGGCUCUACAGUAAUAAAACAGAAAGACUUUACAACUCUGACAGAACUUUCUGAGGUUGAAGGAAGUGUGCUGAAUUCCUGCUUUUGUGUUCUGCAACGGAUUGCCCUCUCACAG